rnacentral:rRNA from 1 species
UUGAAAGGGAAACGAUUGAAGUCAGUCGUGCAGUCACUAACUCAACGGCUAUGUAGGUAUCCAACGCGAGAUGGCGAGCCUCAAAACCGCUGUCUUGUGUUAGAUGCCUACAUAGCCGUGUAUUUUGGUGUUUGCUGGUCAGCAUCAAUUUCGAUUGUCAUAAAAAGGUCGAGGGGAUGUGGCUCCUUCGGGAGUGUUAUAACCCUUGGCGGAAUGUGGCGGUCGGGAUUGAGGUUUGCGCGAUGAUGGUUUCCUCUGGCCUCUCAUCGAUGUCCGAAUGAUGGAAGCUUGCUGAAGUUGUUUGGACCGUUGGUGAAAAGGUUGGUGUGACAGAAUCGUUAAGGAUGUUGACGUA